GAUGCCAGCCAUAGCAGCAGGAGUCCCAGCAAGGGGGUGAUCUCCCUCACUGGGGCUCUUAACAACUACACGACUGAAGAAACAAAGUCACACAACCAGAGUCAAGCUUUCAUCUGCACUCUGCUCAUCCGUGCCUCCAAUGUCCCCUGGCUAAGAUCAUAGGAACAGAAAGCGACCAUGUCCAAACAGGCACGAGGUGCUAAGAAACUUUACCUUCUUCCUGAGUAACCUGAGAGAUGUUGGACUUCUAACCAAACUCUCCAGACUCCAGCUUUUACGAAGAAGCCUGUGGUGGCCACGCUGCUACCCGAGGACUCUAUGGAUUCCACCUUGUUGAAUCACAGUUCUGACUGGCUUCACCUCUGGGGCUUUACACAGCAUAGCCUGGCUGGGGUCCAGUGUAGAUUCUGAAGCAGAGCCCUGUGGGACCCACACUUUACAAAGGAUGACCUGUGCCAUCACUUGCAUGCCCCCGAGGGCUGACCAUCAUAUUUCCAGCAUGUAGAGAGUAGCCGCAGGGUGGGACGCCCACGUCAAUUCAUCUCAUUAGAUUCUUCCCUGAACACUAGAGUUCCCAGAACUCCCUAGAGUACAGAUGACUCCAAACACAUCGUCCCAAGAAAAACCCAUGUGUGGGAAUUACAUAGCCUUCACUUAAUAAAAUCUCACCUUUGCGUGCACGACUC
ensembl:antisense 1700025N21Rik RIKEN cDNA 1700025N21 gene